GGUUACUUAAAUUUUCAUAAGUAAUCCCCCCUGCCCACUGUUCCCCAUCAACGGCUGCAGUACCCUGACUGUACAAAGGUAGCAUAAUCAUUAGUCUUUUAAUUGAAGACUCGUAUGAAAGGGAAUCACUGAGAAUAAAGUUUUCUUCCAACACCUCAAAUCUUAACUAUAAUUCAAAAUGAUUAUAUCACUCUCAAGGACGAGAAGACCCUAAGAGCUUACAAAUCGAAAUUUUCUAUUGGGGAAAUAACUAAAGAAACUGAUCUUUACCACCAACCAAGUUACCUUAGGGAUAACAGCGUCAUCCAUCUCAAGAGUUCUUAUCCACAGAUGAUAUUGCGACCUCGAUGUUGAAUUAAAUCUUUAUUUAAGGUGAAGAAGCUUUAACUUUCUAGUCUGUUCGACUAAUAAAAAUUUACA
rnacentral:rRNA from 1 species